rnacentral:lncRNA from 1 species
UGGGGAACAGUGUAGUGUAAGGCCAAUUAAGGUAUGGCUAAGGCUUAAUCAGCAUCAGCUUUUAAUUAAGUUGGUUAAAUUUUAUUAGCAAAUAACUAAGUGUAAGUUUAUACCACCCGAAUUUAAACAAAAACAUAAUACAGUAACAACAUAUGCAUGAAUGAAAUAACAACGAUUUAAGUUCAUCUUUCGAUAAUGUUAUCACGUGAGGGUUCAGGCCGCUCUUAACCGUGAGCACGGC